GCACCGCUCCGACGGAGGCUGCGCUGCCCCACCUGCCACAGCUGCUGCUAACCGGGCCAGUGGGCGCGACCCUCAGGUGCCAGCUAGCCGCGCGGGCCACGUGACGCGCAGAUUCCUCCUUUGCCUGAGAGCUUUGGAAAAUAAAUGGAAGCUGCUGUGACAAAACCUGAGGCUGCUUCUGCUGGGAUUGGAAUGAUGAGUGAGUCUGGGAUUCAGACACAAGAGCAUAGGUUCUGGAGUCAAGUUGGAGUCAAGUUGCCUGGCAUCAAAUCCUUGCUUAGCUACUUGCUGACUAACUGUUUUGAGGCUGUGUUUCACAAUUUCUCAUAACAAUACCUACCUCAUAACGAUAUGAGGAGGACUGAAAUAGAUAUUACAUGCAAAGCAAUUAGAGCAGAGCUCGUCUGUAGUAAGUUCUCACAAAUUUUAGCUAAAAUUACUAUUUGUCUUACUCUGUGCUGAAAACUUCAAUUUUUAAAAAUAUAUAACAUUAGUACAAUACCAAAAAAGAAAAAAAUCUACAAAACCGUAAAUUGCUAAUUCAUAAGAUAUUAAUCCACAGAUUCUGGUGCUUUCAAUACUUAUGUAAGAUCUGUUAGAUGUUUGUUCUUCAUAGACUAACUUACCUUAUCUUUGAUUUUGUCAGCUCUAGCAUCCAGAGGCUGGCUUUUACUUUGUUCCUGAUUACAUUUUCGAUUUCCUCCACCUGAGCUUACAGUUUUAGUUUGUCCCGUGGAACUUGAAGCAGUAGUGGAUAGUACAGAUGUGCUGAUACCAGAUACAGAUGAUGUACUGUUUCCAUUUAUUGACCCAUUUACACCUUGAAAAAAAAUACACGUUUAAAAAGGACCAUUUCGAUUACUUUUUCCUGAAGUCCUUGAAUGGAAUGAAGAAGAAUCAUGAUUCUGGGCUGGAGGAGCAAACAGUGGUGGAAUUCCCAGUAAGGGUGGAAAGAAGGUUGCCCCUGUACGAGUAGGAAUAUCUGCUGUUCGCCACCAUUCUGCACCUUAAAACCAAACAAAUAAAAACAUUUGCAUUAAUUUUCUAGUUAAUGUAACAAUUGCUUUCUAUGUUUUAUUCCUGAAAAAAAAAAUAUUUCAAGUUUCAUCUUGGGACAGAAUUGCUGAAUUAUAUUUAAUUCUGAUCAUCAUUCUAAAACAGCUGAUUAGAAUUUACAUGCUUAUUAUCAUUCCUCUCAUUAAGACAGCAUCCAAGGAUCUUCACUUAGCAGCUUUCUAGAGUUCAAGCUUAUAAAAGACAAAGGUAGUCCAUGGUUUUAAAAAUAAAACUGGGAACAUAAAAGGACUACUUGACUCUUUCGUAACGUAUAUGAGUUCCAUUCCUAAGUCUGUCUUUAAGUCAAAUCUGUACGUAAGUCGAACAGUGAGGUACAGUUUGUAUCUAAUGCCAGUCAAAUGUUUGUCUUAGUAUGCAGUAUAUAGUGUACCUUUCUAUGUAUAAAAACAUUAAAGAAACACUUCCAGAUAUACUAAAAUAUCUUUAACAUAAUAAUGCAGUAAUAAUAAUAAUAAUAAUGUUUUGAUGUGCAUCGCAAAUUAGCACCCAUUUGUAUGUACCUCGAAUUUUUAAUAUAAUAGGCUUUACGGGCUUAGUUCAGAACUACAGGUUGUAUGCAAGUCUGACAUUUGUAAAUGCGGGGACUGCCUGUACACCAACCUACUUUAAAACCUAAGAAUGUAAGGUUACAACUAUGAUCUCUGUUAAGAAUUUCCUCCAAUUACAUACAAUGUAUAUCUGGCUCUGAUCAUUCAGGUGGUCUCAAUAAGAGUGCAAAGACUAGUAUAAUGAAGUGUAUUUCAAAUGGAUUUCUGAAAGAAAAUAUUCUACAGUCAAUGAAAAAUAUACAUAAAGCAAAAUCAAUAAGUCUUUUGGGGGUAUAAGAAUUGAAACAUGCUCAAAGAUUGAAAAAACAAACAAAUCCACAUGAAAAUAGAAAAGAAUUAUAAAGCUUCAUCUGUUAAAAUUAAUGAAGAAAGCCUGAAUUUUAUUUAUACUUCCUCUCAUAAAUUACAGAUAACAAUGAUUGUUUUAUUGAGAUAAAAUGACUAAAUGGUAGCAAAUCAUCAAAUACAAUUUAAAUAUUGAACGAGUGGCUCUUACUUAAAACAUUUAGAAAAGAAGACAAGCCAAAUUUUAAAUAAUAUAUUUUUAAAGAAAGGCUGAAGAUUAAGAGAUGUGAAAAUAAUCCAAGAGAGUCUUGUAUUGUCCCAUUUAAAAUCUUGAAACCAAUCUUCUCCAGCUGCCUAAGCCACUAGGUUACCAAAUCAGUUAUCAUCUUUUAGUUCAAUUUUCCAAAAAUUAUGGCAUAUUCGUUGACUGUAACAAGCACAAGGAAAUUAGAGAAAAAAAUAAUAUAGGAAAAACCCCAAAUUGUCAGCAUAUUGUAUUUAUACUAUCUUUAAAGUUUUUCUAGAAAUAUCCUUAACUAAAAAUAGUAUUCUGCAAAGUGAUGUGCACUUUCAUUAUCUAAUGGCAAAAUCCAGUAUAAAACAACAACAAAAAAGUGAAAUGUUCAUGGUAGCUGUCAUUCUGGAAGGUCGAAAAAAACAAUGUAUGCAGAAAACUGCAAAAGCUAUUCUUUUGCACUGCAGGAAGACUUGGCUCAUGAAGUGAUGCCAAUGUAUAUUCACCAGUGCCUGAAAUGAUAACUGAACCAAGAAUAACUGUACAAAAGCAUCAAUCAUUUAUUCACUGUUUAGAUGAAAGAAUUGCAUAUAGAUAGGGGAAAAAGUGUGUACGCUGGGUUUCUAUCUACACAGUUGGAAUCUAUUGCUAUUUAUAGAUUUGAAAACUAGGCUCCACAUAACUAAUAAUUUGGGAUGGAGGUUUCCCAAAGAUAUUUAUAUUAUUUUACACAGAGUCUGUGUAAUUAAAGCAUUACAACUGAAUUUAUAGACUUUAUAAACAACCAAGAAAGUGGUAUGGUAACGAAAGUGUCAUACGAUUCAAGUAUUUUAGACAUAAUCAAAUAGGAAAAAACAUAAGUAUGUAUUUCAGAAUGCCAAUAAUGAAUAAGCACAUAACAGAGAUUAGAGAAAACAAUGGAAAAAUGUGUGUGUUAUAAAUAAGCUCGUACCACAGAGGAAAAUAAAAAACAAUAAGACUAAUCAAAUAAAAAGAUAAAAAUGUAGACCUUUUUAUUAGAAACUUUACAAAUAUUUGAGAUAUGAUUUUAGAAGAAGUAAUAUAAUUUUUUUUUGAGUGAUGAGUUCAUUUAUUUCUAAAUUUAGGAAAAAAAUGAAAUUUAGUUACUCAUAAACUAACCUGUUGAUAAAAUGAAAUGUUCAAAAUAAAGAUUUCAUAAAUCAACACAUGAUGAAUUGCUAAGUGUAUUCAAGGGUAGUAACAGCAUAGUAGCAACAUUAAUCAUGUUCAACUGAAAUAGUCUAGUAUUUCAGAGGCUAUACUGAAUCUGAAUUUGAAAAUAGAAAAUAGAGCAGAGAAUUUUAAAAUCUUUCAUGCUUGAUUGAGUCAGGUACUUCACAAAAAUUUAUGGUAAGAUAAUAUAAAAAUAUAAUGACUUAAAAUUAUGAAUAUUUUAAAAGAAAUUACCAUGAAAUUUUGUUUCACUGUAAAAUGGAAAUAUUUUUAUUAUACUACUAUUCUUUAUAAGCAAACCUUGGUGUAGUGGUUUAGUUAGCUACAGCUCCUAACCAAAAAGUCUGUAGUUCAAAUCCACCAGGCACUCCUUGGAAACGCUGUGGGGUAGUUCUACUCUGUCCUGUAGGGUCGCUAUGAGUCAGAAUUGACUCAACAGCAAUGGUUUUGGUUUGGUUUUUGGAUCUAUUAGAUAAUUUUCUAUCUGUUGAUUCAAAUUUUCUGAAAAGCAGAAUACUUUAGAAGUACAUAAGAUUUAAAAGUAAAUUACCUACUCCUAUUUUAAAAUUUCUAAUAGUGUCUUUCUGUGUGUCCUUAUUUCCUUAUUAGGUAAUUUCAAAUGUUUGGCAUUUUUUAUUACCUUUCUGAAUAAAGCCAAAUAUAGACGAUUUAUAUUUAACAGUUAUUGGCCCAACUCUACAAUUUAAACAGAAUGUGUCUUCUAAAUACAAACAUGGUCUCCAUCUAUUUGGCAAAAAAUAAAUAUGCUGUUAUGGGCACAAUUUUACCACUAAAGACUCUGUCUUGUAAUCAUUUAUCCGUCUCUAAAAACCGUAAGGGCAUUUAGUAUAUUGGUGUAUUCCUCAGAUCCUAGCCUAGGGUAGAGAGCAUAGUAGGUGCUCAAAAAACUUUGUACAAUAAAUGAAAGAGUGAAGAGUUUAUGUAGGCUGGGGAAGCUAUUUCAUUUUUUUCCGUACAGUAGAAAUGGCAAAAUUAUUGAAGCCCAGAUGAGUAAUUUUUUACUUGUUACCUAUCAUGCCAGUAUAGAAAGUAUUUGAUCUCAGUAAUAUAAUAAUCAUUGUAUAAUUUAGACAGAGUACAACUGCCCCACAGAGUUUCCAAGGAGUGCCUGGUGGAUUUGAACUGCAGACUUUUUGGUUAGCAGCUGUAGCUAACCAAACCACUACACCAGGGUUUCUUUUAAUGGAUAGUAGUGUAAUAAAAAUAUUUCCAUUUUACAGUGAAACAAAUGCUCAAAAACAAAACCAUAAUAAACUACCAUAAACAGUAAAAAAUAUUAUAGACACCAGUAACUAUAUUACUAUUAUCCAUUUUGAUUUUUAUUCAGCAAUUCUACAUUUCAACAAAUAUCUGGUGAAUGCUCACCUUGCUAAGCAGCCAUGCUACCCACUAAAUUUCUAUUAAUAUAGUUAAAGCAAAUUUUAUGUUAAAGAUUUCAUUUUAACUAUCUACUACUCCCUUUAGCCCUUCCCACCACCUCCUCUCCCCCAGACAACUGAAAUAAAGCAAUGAUAUGACUCAAGAUAUAGUAUCUGAAAUCUACAUUUAGCCAUCUGUUCUUUCUAUAUUCAUAUAGAUAACUAUUUCCUUUCAAAGAAGCACUUGACAAUUUAUGAGCAAUGAAAGUGGGCAAAAGGAUAUAAUAAUGAUAGUUACAAAUUAUGGACUAAUUAUGUGUGCCAGACACAGUAUUUGGCAGUGAACCUGGCUAAUGUUUAAUCUUCACAAGAGCCCAAUAAGGCAGGUACUAUUAUUAUCAUCCUCAUUUUUCAGAUGAGAAAACUGAGGCUGAGAGGUUAGAUAAUUUGCCCAAGGUCAUACAGCUAAGAAGGAGCUGAGCCAGAUUUAAGCUCAGAUCUAUUUGUCUCUAGAAUUAUGCUCUAAAGUUUAAACUAUUUUAUAUACACUAAAACAUAUGCAUUCUUUACUAAAAUUGAUGAAAAUAAGAUUAACCAAUGGAAAACACACUUAAAUUUGGACUUUCAAGAUAAUAUAACAGGACAAAGUAUAAUAUGCUUAUCUAAA